GGGUAUAUAGCUCAGCGGUAGAGUACAUGCCUAGAAUGCAUGAGGUCCUGGCUUCAAUCCUCAGUACCUCUA
rnacentral:tRNA from 1 species